ACUUGGAGCAGUGUGGAGACUACUGACACCGUUCGUAGUGACACUUCCCUCCUGUCCCCUCUCCCUUUCCUUUCCUGACUCUACUGGUCUUAGGACGCCACCAUCCUAUCUCCCUGAAGCUCACUGCCCAGAAACGGCCCACUGCCCUUGGGGUGGCUUCAGAAGUGAGGGGAAGAACCUCGGCGCACGCCGGGGCUCAGGGGUGGCAGGGGCAGCAGCUGCCCUUCUCAGUCGGUCCGUCCGGGGCAGAGGAGGUGGCCGUCGGCCAGGAAGCGCCCGCCCAUUCCAGAGCGAAUCGCUUUUGUCCGUUUCGAAAAAGCCCCGGAGGCGGGAGUUUUUGGUUCGCCCCAGUGUGCUCCAGCACAAUCUUCUCCCAGGAGCCCAGUCAGGCCCCCGAGCGCUUAUCGCGGCUUUGCAGGCGGCGCCAUGUCUCCUGCCCCGCGCCCCGACUCCGGGAGAGCGGCUCGCGAGGGCGAGGCGGCAGCGGGCACCCUGGCCCGGUAGCGGCAAGUUUAGAAGGUCCAGCUGACUCAUCCCAGCGCUGGUGUCCGUGAGUGUGAAUUCUGACUCUGAGCGCAGGCGUCCUGAGACUGGAACACUUGGUCACCUGAACUGCUGUUGAGCCCCGCGAGUAAAUUUGUGUGGCAGUAAAGAAAGGCAGAAAUUCUCCAGAUGACUUCCAGUAAUGAUCAGAUUUGUAUCCCAAUGUCACAAAGAAACAGCAAUGGCCUCCCCGGAAUGACUUCUAGUGACCUGAAGACAUUUACUACUGGAGGAGAUGUGUUGAGUUUUCAUAACAUCUGCUAUCGAGUAAAAGUGAAGAGUGGCUUUCUACUUGGUCGGAAAGUAGUUGAGAAAGAAAUACUAUCGAA